GAUGAACGCUGGCGGCGUGCCUAAUACAUGCAAGUCGAGCGAACAGACGAGGAGCUUGCUCCUCUGACGUUAGCAGCGGACGGGUGAGUAACACGUGGAUAACCUACCUAUAAGACUGGGAUAACUUCGGGAGACCGGAGCUAAUACCGGAUAAUAUAUUGAACCGCAUGGUUCAAUAGUGAAAGACGGUUUUGCUGUCACUUAUAGAUGGAUCCGCGCCGCAUUAGCUAGUUGGUAAGGUAACGGCUUACCAAGGCAACGAUGCGUAGCCGACCUGAGAGGGUGAUCGGCCACACUGGAACUGAGACACGGUCCAGACUCCUACGGGAGGCAGCAGUAGGGAAUCUUCCGCAAUGGGCGAAAGCCUGACGGAGCAACGCCGCGUGAGUGAUGAAGGUCUUCGGAUCGUAAAACUCUGUUAUUAGGGAAGAACAAAUGUGUAAGUAACUAUGCACGUCUUGACGGUACCUAAUCAGAAAGCCACGGCUAACUACGU
rnacentral:rRNA from 1 species